CUUUGCUUUGCUAAGGAAUGACUCGAGCAUAGAGGUACCUGUUCCUGCUUCUCUCUCCCUGCUCACGCAGAGCUGGUGUCCAGCCGCCGCCGGGUGCCCUCCGAGGCCGUCGACCGGAAGUCACCGCGCCGGGCUAAGCAGGGAAGCGAGGCUGCCUGUUGAACCUUCGAGCCAGGCCGGCCUCGCCGUCGGCGAUGGCUCGCUCGCCGGGGACGGGGGCGAUGUGCCCCGAUUGUCUGGAGCGGCGCAUCCGAUCCGACCUCGCUGGUUCCGGACUUUCCUUCGUCCACGGCGUCUCUGACUCCCCGCUCCCCUUCGCCUCCUCCGCUGUCGUCCAGAUGGCAUCUGAUGGAUCCGACCAAUGUAUUGGGAGCCAGAAGACCUGUGGUUAUUUUGUGUUGGUGGUACUAAAUGGUGGUAAGACAUAUGUGGAUACAAAAAAAUGUGAAAACAACCCAUUGGAGCAAUCACUCAUAUUUAAAGAUGAUAAUCAUUGUGCUGUGCAAGCAGAUUCCUCUCCUGGUAUUGAACAUGUUGGAGAUCUUCAAAGUUCUUCUAGCUCGAAUAAUCAGCAACUAACUGUAAACAUAAUCACCAAGUUAACUCCUGUUUACUAUCUGGGCAGAGUCGCCACUACAGAAAUUAGAGAUCUUAUGGCAAGUUAUAUGAAUUUAUCCAUUGAACAGGAUGUGAUUAAUUCACUAAAUCUGUUGUGUGAAAACACCAUUAGUGGACCAGCUGGUUUAGGUUUUCUCAGUUUUGUUGGAUUUUCAGCAUUUGAUGAUAUACAUCCUUCUGGGCUUGUGAGACACCCCAACAUCUUACCUGUGUUAGCUGUUGUAGAAUCAUCUGAUUGUUGCUACAUGUUUCAACCAAAGGCUCCAUACACUUUGGAGAACAUCAUGCACUACAGUCCAGAGGCAUUGUGCUCAGAUUGGCACAUCAGAUUUUUCAUCUACCAAAUAAUGUCUGCAUUGGCAUAUCUUCAUGAUUUUGGAGUUCAUCACGGCAAUCUGAAACCAUCAACCAUUUUGAUGUCAGAUUCUCUAUGGCCUUAUCUCAGCAUAAGUGAUAUAUCUCAUGUUAAACAGAACCGGGGUUUUGGGGGACCUGAAGGUUCAAUACUUAAUUCAUGCUGUGCUGAGGAGGAUUGUUCUUCCAGAUCCAUUUUUGCUAGUUUCAAUCUUCCAUCAUCCUUAGAUUGGUCUUCUCACUUCAAACGAUGGUGGACGGGUGAGUUGAGCAAUUAUGAGUACCUUCUUGUCUUGAACAAGUUAGCUGGUAGGAGAUGGGGUGAUCCAGCUUUUCAUCCGGUGAUGCCUUGGGUAAUAGAUUUCACAGUGAGGCCUGACGAAAAUUCUGACAUUGGCUGGAGAGACCUCACCAAAAGUAAAUGGCGGUUGGCAAAGGGCGAUGAACAAUUGGAUUUUACUUACUCAUCAUCUGAUGUUCCAUAUCAUGUUUCUGAUGAGUGUCUCUCAGAGCUAGCAGUUUGCAGUUACAAAGCAAGAAGGCUAUCAAAGACCAUCUUGAGGUCAGCUGUCCGCUCUGUCUACGAGCCCAACGAAUACCCAUCUAGUAUGCAAAGGCUUUAUCAAUGGACUCCAGAUGAAUGCAUCCCAGAGUUCUAUAGCGAUCCCUGGAUUUUUGUCUCUCUUCAUUCUGAAAUGAGUAAUUUGGCUUUGCCUUCCUGGGUGACCUCUUCAGAGGAAUUCAUUUGUCUUCACAGGGAUGCCUUAGAGAGUGACCGAGUCUCACAACAACUGCAUCAUUGGAUUGAUAUAACCUUUGGCUAUAAACUUGCUGGGGAGGCAUCUGUUGAAGCUAAGAAUGUCAUGUUGCCUCCCAGUGAUCCAUCAAGGCCUAAAUCAAUUGGGCGACGGCAGCUUUUUACAAAGCCACAUCCUAAGCGUCUUAUUAGCACACCUCACUCAGCCUACCACAAUAAAGUGGAAUCUUGUGCAAGAUGCCAAAGAAAAGGAAGUAACUCAACUACUGAUGUAUUGUUAAAUGACUGUAAUCCCCCAAAUAUGUUUUCACAAGUUGAUUAUUUGGAAGAGUUUGAACAAGCAACAUUAUUUAUGGAGCUUCAACAUCAUUUGAAUCCAAUAUACAGUUACUCUAACACUGCUGCUUGUUGUUGUUCAUCAGUCAAAUAUCUCAAGAGACAAUUUUCAGAUCAGGAGGUAUUGCAACCUGAUAGUGUAUUAUCGGUGGUGCCUGAUUUUGAUUUUGGCUCCUAUCUUGAAUGCUUUGAGUCUGAUGAUAGUUCUUCUAUUGGUUAUCAAGAGCUGUUGCGCUGGAAGCAAAGGUCUUGUUCUGUUAUUGAGCAUCAUGCAAAUGAUAUAUUUUCAAUAGGGUGCAUCUUAGCAGAAAUCUAUCUGCACAGACCACUUUUUGAUGCUUCCUUGCUAGCUGCAUAUAAAGAAACUGGUAUGCUGCCAGGAGCACUCCAUGAAUUGCCUGUUCAUGUCCGUUUGCUUGUUGAGUCAUGCAUCCAAAGGCAAUGGGAAAGGAGGCCGUGUUCAAAGCAUCUUCUGGAGUCACCAUAUUUUCCUCCAUCAGUUCGAUCCGCAUAUAUGUUUCUUGCUCCACUUCAACUUCUGUGUACAUCUGGAGACCGCCUGAAGUAUGUUACUAAGCUUGCAAGUGAAGGGACACUUAAAGCCAUGGGAGAAUUUGCUGCUGAAGUGUGUGCACCUUACUGCCUACCUUUUGUUUCAUCAUCUCGGUUGGAUGUUGACACCGAGUCUUGCUUGCGUCUGCUUAAAGAGUUUUUGAAGUGCUUGAGUGUCCAAGCAGCUAAGAAACAUAUUCUGCCCAUCAUUCAGAAAAUCUUACAGGUACCAGAAUAUUCCCAUCUGAAGGUUUCUCUCCUUCAAGAUUCUUUUGUCCGAGAGUUAUGGAAAAAAUUGGGAAAACAAACUUAUAUUGAGAAGGUGCAUCCGUUGGUCAUAGCAAACUUACACAAUUCACCUAACAAGAUCACUGCAUCUUCUGCAUCCAUUGUUUUAAUUGGUUCAAGUGAGGAACUAGGAAUACCAAUCACUGUUCAUCAGACAGUUUUACCACUAAUCCACUCUUUCGGCAAAGGUUUAUGUGAUGACGGAAUUGAAACUUUGGUCAGGAUAGGUGGACUUCUUGGGGAAAGUUUUAUUGUCAAGCAAAUUCUCCCCUUGCUGAGGAAUGUUAUACAUUUUUGUAUCGACUCCUCCAAGGUGACUAAGCCAGAACCACAGCAGAGUUGGAACUCUUUUGCUCUGAUUGAUGGCUUAUCUGCGUUGGAAGGCCUUGUAUCAGUUCUUCCUGUUAAGGCAGUUCUCAGGGAGCUUCUCCAGGACCAAGUCUGUCUUCAUAUAAAGAUUCUUAUGCUGAUCCAUUUGGACCUUGAUGUGAUUCAGGUGGCAGCUACUGCAUUUGUUGACCUUUGUCUACGAAUUGGACCAGAUAAUACUGUCAUACAUGUUUUGCCACAUCUAAAAGAGCUUUUUGCUGAAUUGGCCUUUUUUCAAGACUCUUCUGCUGUUAGCCUUCCUACAAAAGGGUUAAAAAUCUCAGAAAGAAACAAAAGUGAGACGAUUAAAAUGGAAUCUAGAAUUGAUCUCGUGUUGUUGCUAUAUCCUUUCUUGGCAUCACUUGUUGGAAUAGAGAAGCUCCGUGAAUACUGCUCUACAUGGUUUCUAUUGGAGCAGUCUCUUCAAAGGUUGUACAAUUGGAAGUUUGAGCCUUCCAGUAAAUGUUCUAUAAGUGGUGAAAACAUGAAAACUCAAAGGUUUCAGCCUGGCAACGACACCUCGUCUGAGGUUGUUCCAACAGAACUUUUUAAUGGGGCAGGGUCGUCUGUGUCUCAAUCUCAAAUCCCUAAAACUGGUUGGAUGGCAGCUUCCAAGCACAGAUUUAGGCUCGAGCAUGGAACAUCUAGUGACAAUUUGUCUGCAUCAACUUCUGGAAAUCAGCCCUGGUUUUGGUUCCCUUCUCCUGACAGUAGUUGGGGCGUACCAGAUCUUCUUGGACGCAGUAGCGGUUUGAAGGAUGAACUUCCAUGGAAGAUCGAAGCUUCAGUCCUUUACUCAGCCCGUGCACACCCUGGGGCUCUGCGGUCAUUAGAAGUCCAUGAUGAUGAGUGCACGAUUUUUACUGGGGGAGUUGGACCUGGUUUUAAAGGAAGUAUACAGCGUUGGGAGUUGGCCAACAUGAAUUGCACAUCUGGAUAUUACGGGCAUGAAGAGGUUGUCAAUUCCAUCUGUAUCCUGUCAAUUACUGGAAAAGUAGCUUCUUGUGAUGGCACGAUUCAUAUUUGGAAUGGGCAGACAGGAAAGCUCAUAGCAGCUCAUACCGAGUCGUCAACAAGCUUUCCGCUGCAAACUGCAUCUGUUGAACAGGCAAACAUGCUUAAUCAGGACGCGCUCUCAGGUGGAAUAUUGUCGAAUGCAUUUCGUGGUAGCUUGUAUACGACCAUGCAUUACAUGGCAUCUGAAGAUAAACUUGUUGCUGGCAUGGGAAAUGGAUCUAUCAGAUUUAUUGAUAUCUCUCGGGAUCAGAAGCUGCAUUUAUGGAAGAGUGAUUCGGCUGAAAUCUCCUUCUCAUCACUCGUGUCAACUAUUUGCUCGUCUGGCUCAGACAAGCCGAGGAAUGGAAGCCUUGUGGCUUCAUCAUCCUGGAUUGCAGCAGGUCUAAGCUCUGGUUAUUGUCGAUUACUUGACGAGCGUAGUGGAAAAAUCAUUGCAGUUUGGCGAGCACAUGAUGGUCACAUUACGAAGUUGGCAUCACCAGAGGACCACUUGAUUGCAUCUAGCUCCCUUGACAAGACUCUUCGAAUUUGGGAUCUAAGAAGGAACCUAUCAGUCCAGUCAAACAUUUUCAGAAGCCAUUCAGAUGGCAUCUUUGACUUCUCUGUUUGGGGUCAAGACCUGUUAUCAGUGUCAAGAAACAAAAUUGCACUUACUUCCCUAUCGAGACCAACAAAUGAGAUCGGACAUCAGCAGCUCGUACUUCAGAACUUAUAUUCGACUGACAGAGGAGUAAAAUAUAAAAACAUGUCUGUUCUUUCGGCUAUUUCUGUGCUUCCUUUGUCAAGAUUGUUUGUCGUUGGAACAGAAGAUGGUUUUCUCAAAAUCUGCCACUAGAUGGUUCCAGUAGUGGUUGUAUUGCUGUCGUGAGUUCGAAGUCCCAUUGCUGUAUCUUUGAUUUGGAGAGUGAGGAUUUGAACCCAUGAGCUGGAUCACCACAACCUUGUCCUGUGUUCCGUGUCUGUCUCUUUAAGUAUUUCCGUCAUUCUUCUCAGUGAGCUUUCAGUAUAUCUUGGUUCUUGUUUAUUUUCUGUGAGCAUUCAUGGGUUGGUUCAAAUUGCGGCAUCAUCUUUAGUUAUGAAUGGCUGGUUCUACUUAUCUACUACAAAUGCCAGUUGUAAUGGGAACCGUUGACGAACUUCUAAGUAAACUAACCACUACUUGUACUUACAUCAUGUUCUUUGUUAAGAUGUUAGUCUUCCUAUUUGAGAUAUGCACUGAUUAUAUCACAUACUCAUGUAGCUAAAAGCCUAAAAGUACCCUGUAAUUGCUAGUGGCCCUUGAUGCUAAUUUCUUUGAAUGUGAAUAUGACAUCUCGUUUGGGCCUCAAUGAAGUAUAAGAAGGGUAAGUCAGCUUUUAGCAUAUAGGCAGAUUAGUUUUCAAUUUGAGUUCUAUUUAAGAAAAAUGCUCCCGAUAUUAGUUUAACUACUGGUAUUUGAUCUCUGGGUUAAAAUAUUUACUACUAAAUAUUUCUUGAGAUAACAAUCCGUUGCCAUUUAUUAGCAUAAAUUUAAGAGUCCAAAUAAAGGGGCAUCUGUUUCUUGUGCCAAAAUAAAGCUGAAAAUAUGGCGUUGGAUGUCAUCAUCAGAUUAGGAGUAGUUCUUGAAGAAUCCCGCGUGUAUGAAAACUGGAGAUAGUCAAGACUUGAGCUCAAAGCUGAAGAAAAAUAGGUUGUAAACAACUCUGACCACAGCUAUAGAAUAAAAUUCAGCAUUAUGUGCACAUGUUUGGGCUCAAAUUUUCCUGAGAGCUAUGACCAAAAUAGCAUUAUCUGGAAUUGUCGGCAUUGAUGUUGCCCUCCUUUUGCUAUUGUCAUACGGAAUUAGCAGCAAUGAUCUCAAACACUUGUGAUAUUUCUAUGGACCUGCAGUCUUAUUCACAUUGAGGUUGAUGUGAAUCAAGCCAGUAGUUUUCAUCUGUGUACCGGAGGUGAUUGGUAAAUGUACUUACCGGGCGGUAACCGAAAAUACCGCAUGGUAACCAAAAGCUGAUUCUGAUGCGCAACAUUGUAAAAAGAACUUUUAUCUGGCAUUAUUACAAGAAAACUAAACAGACGGAACAAAGCAGAAAACUGGACAAUCUUUUCUUUUCCUUGAGUUGUUCUAUAUGUUUGUUUUUCUUUUAUUCUUGUCAAAGCAACCACCUAACCAUAGCUUUUAUUGAGUUACUAGACACCAGUCCACAACAGCCACUAGCUUGUCGCUAUUUCAGUGAAUUCACCAGAGCAAGGGUCAUUAUUAAGCUCAAGACCCUGCAGAUUCGAGUUUGACAGGCUCGUCAACUGAUGCUCCCAGAUUCGAGUUUGUGAGAAAUGCCUGGUCUUACGUGAACAGGCCUAGGUUCUUUGUCAGACCCACAUAAUACAUCAACCUGGCAGUAAAACAAUCGUUAUAGCUCUGUACCACAAUACUUGUUGGGAGAACUUGUGCUAGUGUUCCCCAACUACAAGUAUUUCGGUACAGAGGGA
rnacentral:rRNA from 1 species